GAUGAACGCUGGCGGCGUGCCUAAUACAUGCAAGUCGAGCGGACAGACGAGGAGCUUGCUCCUCUGACGUUAGCGGCGGACGGGUGAGUAACACGUGGAUAACCUCCCUAUAAGACUGGUAUAACUUCGGGAAACCGGCGAUAAUCCCGUAUAAUCUAUUGCACCGCAUGGUUCAAUAGUGAAAGACGGUUUUGCUGUCACUUCUAGAUGGUUCCGCGCCGCAUUAGCUAGUUGGUAAGGUAACGGCUUACCAAGGCAACGAUGCGUAGCCGACCUGAGAGGGUGAUCGGCCACACUGGAACUGAGACACGGUCCAGAGUCCUACGGGAGGCAGCAGUAGGGAAUCUUCCGCAAUGGGCGAAAGCCUGACGGAGCAACGCCGCGUGAGUGAUGAAGGUCUUCGGAUCGUAAAACUCUGUUAUUAGGGAAGAACAAAUGUGUAAGUAACUAUGCACGUCUUGACGGUACCUAAUCAGAAAGCAACGGCUAACUACGUG
rnacentral:rRNA from 1 species